rnacentral:rRNA from 1 species
AAUGAACGCUGGCGGCGUGCUUAACACAUGCAAGUCGUACGAGAACUCUUUAGCUUGCUAAAGAUAGUAAAGUGGCGCACGGGUGAGUAACGCGUGGGUAAUCUACCUCUAAAUCUGGGAUAACAUUGCGAAAGCGAUGCUAAUACCGGAUAAUAUCUCAAAAUCGUCAGGUUUUGAGAUCAAAAAUGGCCUCUACAUGUAAGCUGUUGUUUGGAGAUGAGCCCGCGUACCAUUAGCUUGUUGGUAGGGUAAUGGCCUACCAAGGCAACGAUGGUUAGCUGGUCUGAGAGGAUGAUCAGCCACACUGGAACUGACACACGGUCCAGACUCCUACGGGAGGCAGCAGUGAGGAAUUUUGCGCAAUGGGGGAAACCCUGACGCAGCAACGCCGCGUGAGUGAUGAAGGCCUUCGGGUCGUAAAGCUCUGUCAAGUGGGAAGAAACUGUAAAAUGUUAAUACCAUUUUUCACUGACGGUACCACUGAAGGAAGCACCGGCUAACUCCGUGCCAGCAGCCGCGGUAAUACGGAGGGUGCAAGCGUUAUUCGGAAUUAUUGGGCGUAAAGGGCGCGUAGGCGGCCUUUUAAGUCAGAUGUGAAAGCCCGGGGCUUAACCCCGGAAGUGCAUUUGAAACUAAAGGGCUUGAGUAUGGGAGAGGGAAGUGGAAUUCCUGGUGUAGCGGUGAAAUGCGUAGAUAUCAGGAGGAACACCGGUGGCGAAGGCGACUUCCUGGACCAAUACUGACGCUAAGGCGCGAAGGCGUGGGUAGCAAACAGGAUUAGAUACCCUGGUAGUCCACGCAGUAAACGGUGAACACUAGGUGUAGCGGGUAUUGACCCCUGCUGUGCCGCAGCUAACGCAUUAAGUGUUCCGCCUGGGGAGUACGGUCGCAAGAUUAAAACUCAAAGGAAUUGACGG